UACCCAGGGCGCGGUCGGCGCGUCAGGCUUUUCGCUCCGCGUCCUGGAGGUUAAGUUUGCAAACGGCUGCGGCGUGGGCAACGUUUUUCUUUUUUUUUCAAACUGUUUAUGCUGAGAUUGAGGGAGCCUUUUUGUCACACAAGUUCAACACGUUCUACGCUGCCGCUGGUCUCAAACUAGCAAGGUCAAGCGGCGAUUUUUGGCCCAUUUGUUCGGAACCUAUUUGUUCUUUCCCACUCUGCUGCUUUUCGCUUUUUCCCUUCUCUCGGACGGGCUGCAGCCUUCUGGAGCUGACUCAGGCGAGAGGCGUCCAGACUCAAAUAGGGGUCACACAUGCUGCCGGGAGAGGCCUCUGCAUAAAAAUGCUCUUUAAAAAUUUUAAAAAGCAGCAUAAUAGCCAAUGGACUUAGCAAAGCGUGACCUGCCCAGGCCGCUCGGAGGGCAGGCCUGGCAGUCAUCUGUGUCUGGACCACCAGUCAACGUCCGGGACGUACCUGUUCGCUGACGUAUUAGCAAACGUUUCAAGGAUGUGGCUGUCAGCUGUCAUUAGCCCACGCGUUUUACCGGGAGGAGGGCACGUCCAGGGCGUGUUUGCGUACAAUAUUCUGGGGAGGUCAGAAUCUGACCUCUGGAACAGUCAAAUGUUCCUUCUUGUACAGACAUUUAUCAAAUGACUGGAGAAAAGCUGGCACGUGAGCACUGGGGUACAGAGGCGUGGAAGGGACGCUUGCAAGUCUUUGGGGAAACUCGGACCCAAAUCGGACACAAGUCACCCCAAUGAGUUCUAGCGCUCCCUGCGUGAACCAUCAGGUCCUGAACGCUAGAACCUGGCGUCCGGAUGCGCAAGUAGAGGCCGGGCAGCUCGGAAACACCUGAUGACCUGGAAGCGCCGGUGGCUGUUCAAGUGGGCAAAGUAAAUGAUAGAUUUCUUCUUGAAUUGAAGUGGAAACAAAGGCCCACUUCUAGCCAAUCAAAGAGCCACCCUUCACCCCAGGAAGAGAAGGUACCUGGACACCCUCAUCAUCUCUAACCAACAGAAGUUACUGCGUGGCAGGAGGAAACCAUCAGGUGUCUCCUGGGCCCAUAACAGAAUCUGCCUGCUCUUCCUGAGCAGAAUUCAAGAUUCUCUGUUCUCCCGGGCCAUAGCCACUAAGUGGGGAAGCUGAGGCAUUUCUACUCCUCAGAUCAGAGAGUGACCACCGAAGUUGCGAAGUUCCAGUGUGAACUUGAUUGUCUAUUGAUACUGAGACGUGACUGUAAUAAUCUGAACGCAAUUUCUGCAAGGAUGCUCUUCUGACCUGAGGCUUCUGGGAAGAUGGCGGAAGAGUAAGACGCGGAGAUCACCUGCCUCCCCACAGAUACACCAGAAAUACAUCUACACGUGGAACAACUCCUACAGAACACCUACUGAACGCUGGCAGAAGACCUCAGACCUCCCAAAAGGCAAGAACCCCCCCCCGCCACGUACCUGGGUAGGGCAAAAGUAAAAACAGAGACAAAAGGAUAGGGACGGGACCUGCACCAGUGGGAGGCAACUGUGAAGGAGGAAAAGUUUCCACACACUAGGAAGCCCCUUCGCAGGCGGAGACUGCGGCUGCGGAGGGGGAAAGCUUUGGUGCUGCGGCAGAGAGCACAGCAACAGGGGUGCGGGGGGCAAAGCAGGGAGAUUCCCGCACAGAGGAUCAGGGCCGACCGGCACUCACCAGCCCGAGAGGCUUGUCUGCUCCCCCGCCGCGGCGGGCGGGGCUGGGAGCUGAGGCUCGGACUUCGGUCGGAGCGCAGUGAGAGGGCUGGGGUUCGCGGCGUGAACACAGCCUGCAGGGGGUUAGUGCGCCACGGCUAGCCGGAGGGAGUCCGGGGAAAAGUCUGGACCUGCCGAAGAGGCAAGAGACUUUUUCUUACCUCCUUCCUGGUGCGCGAGGAGAGGGGAUUCAGAGCGCUGCUUAAAGGAGCUCCAGAGAUGGGCGCGAGCCGCGGCUAAAAGCGCAGACCCAGAGACAGGCAUGAGACGCUAAGGCUGCUGCUGCCGCCAACAAGAAGCCUGUGUGUGAGCACAGGUUACUAUCCACACCCCGCUUCCGGAGAGCCUGUGCAGCCCGCCACUGCCAAGGUCUCGGGAUCCAGGUACAACUUC